rnacentral:lncRNA from 1 species
AAAUGGUAUCAUCAUCACGUAACUACCUUUACAAAAGCAGGCGUCAGGUGCUGCUGACACUUGGACUAAGUAAGGGAUGGACUUUUUAAACAAACUCCUCCUGCACCAGAGAAAAUCCUGGGCAGCCUAAAGAAGCAAAGCCCACAGGCAAAACGAUACAUGACACCUGAGGACAAGCUAAGAAAAUGGAAAGCAUAGCCAUCUCCUUAGCAAGGUGCUCCAGAAGUCUUUGCUCAGCAGACUGUUAAGGAUGUGUAGAGAGUUAGAAAAUUCAAGAGGAGGCCUAUGCUGAGCCCUGUAAUGGAAAAUGUCCAAACUGCCUGUAAUUCAUGUUCAAGCGCUGGACUUCCGUGGUUAGAUUAAAGAUAAACCAGCCAGGACCUUUCAACGGGUGAUAAAGAUCACAGGCUGCUUGUAACUGAUCAAAAGGCUAAAGGCGAACCCACAGCAGGGGUAUUAAAAUGGCCCCAAAGCAGAAUGCCUGACCAGAGCCAAUUAAGGGGAAAGGAUUUACUUGAACGCACAGUUUGAAGAUCCCGUCCAUCAUGGCAUUGCAACCACAGUCAGGAAACAGACGGGUGAAUGCUGGCACUCAGCUCUCCAGAAACCCCAGCCCAUGGAGCAGUGCCACCCAUAGGGUUCACAUCAGAUAUUUUGAUCACAGCAUCAUGAAGGUAACUAAUCUACUGGAAAGGCUCUCCUGUCCCUCACCUGAGCACCCUCUUCAUCACGUGUGUGUGAGAGAGAAAGAGAGAACCAGACACAAACAGACAGUGUGUGCAGGUGUAGGUGUACAUUUAUGGAGGCCAGAGGUCCACUUCGACUGUUGUUCCUUGGGCAUCCGUGUUUGUGUGGGUAUGUGCAUAUAAAGAGAGUUGUCCUAGGAGACCAGAAGAAGGUGUCAGAUUCCCUGGAUCUGGAGUUACAGGUGCUUGUGAGUCCUCUGAAGUGGGUGCUGGUUGCUCUGCAAGAUCAACAGGCACUUUUAACCCCUGAGCUGCACCCUGCCCCAGUUUUAAAAGAUGUUUUGUAUUUUAUUUGUGUAUGCAUAUGUCUGUUUGUGUCUAUGAGUCUGUAUUUGUGCACAGAGGCCAGAAGGUUGUGUUCCAUCUCUCGGGGCUGAAGUUACAGCAUUUGUGAACAUGUGGAUCCAAAUUCUGGUCCCUGGCAAAGCUGUAAAGUGCUCUUAACCACUGAGCCACCUCUACCAGCAUAAUCUUGUCUGUCUGUCUGUCUGUCUGUCUGUUUUUUACAUUAGCCUUAACUGGCCUUGAACUCACAGAGCUCUGCGCUCCACUGGCUCAUACACACUGGGACUGCAGACUUUCACGACCACACCCAGUUCACUGCAGACUGAACCCAGGGUUCUGACAUGCUAGGUGAACAUUCUACCAACUGAGCUACACCCCAUCCCCUCAUUUAACUGUCCUUUCUCAAAUGUCUGUACAUCAACACACACACUCAAAUCUCACUUUUAAGAGCUCAGGCUGAGACACCAACUGACAGACACUGACAGAACCACCCCUUACUCGCGUUGCUCUUUCCCUACCCCAUUUCCUCCCAAGCUCACCUGCUCAGGUCAUCCAUCAUUCAUUUGUCCAAUAAACAUAAUCUGAACCUCCCGGCGCCCGGGGCCAGAGACCCAGAGAUGAACCAAACCACAUCCCUGCCCUGAAGGAUCUGGCCGCUUCAAAGCACCAUGCAAAGAGAGAACGGUAAUUAUUAUUUUGAGUAGUAAUUAUAGUUGUGCUACAAAGCAGCUGGGGAGCUUUAAGAAGGUAUGACCCGUAUUUUCUGCCAAAGGAAUUCUCACCCUGGGGCCCAGAGAAGUCAGAAAGGAGAGUCUUUUACUCCUUCGAAGGGUAGCUCCAUCCCCCAAAGCUAGGAUCAGGGGACCAAAGGCACCAGCAGUAGUGUCUCUGACGGAGCCACUUGCUCGGGACUGUGUAGGGCAGUGAUGUGUACAUUACAUCGGAAAAUUGCCAUGUGCUGUUUGAGUUCACUGAGAGACUGUCCCAGAAAAAAUGGGGCUCCCUCCCCCCAUUUCAGACCCAUGUAUGCUUGUCUCCAAGUGUCCUCCAGAGCCUGAGGUCAGACUGCCCCUGGGACUGUGAUAAGGAGGGAACACUGUGUCCUUGAGAACGG